rnacentral:rRNA from 1 species
AUGGGAGGUCUUGGUAAGACAACUCUUGCUAAGAUGGUGUGUAAUGACCAAGAAGUCCAGAAACAUUUCCAGUUGAAGAUGUGGCACUGCGUGUCAGACAACUUUGAUACCGUUGCUCUUUUGAAAUCCAACAUUGAAUUGGUUGUAAAUAGUGAUCUGCCUGACACCAUUGAGUUGUUGCAAAAGCAACUUCAGGAAGUCAUUGGCCAAAAAAGGUUUAUUCUCAUUCUUGAUGAUGUAUGGUAUGAAGAUAAGAGAAUGUGGGAGGAUGUAUUGAAGCCACUAUUGUGUUCUGUUGGUGGACCAGGAAGUGUUAUAGUGGUCACAUGUCGAAGCAAGCAAGUAGCGUCUAUAAUGUGCACGGUUAAGCCCCAUGAGCUAGUAUUUCUGAGUGCAGAUAAUUCAUGGGACUUGUUUUCAAACAAAACAUUUAGCAAUGGUGUGGAGGAGCAAGCAGAGUUAGUCGCCAUUGGAAGGCAUAUUGUCAAUAAAUGUGGAGGGUUGCCUCUUGCUCUCAAGACAAUGGGUGGAUUGUUGAGUUCACAGAAACAUGUACAUGAAUGGAAGAGCAUUGAAGCAAGUAACAUUGGGGAUAAUGACAGAGGUAAAUAUGAGGUCAUGCUCAUAUUAAAGUUAAGCUGCAAACACCUGUCAUCUGAAAUGAAACAAUGUUUUGCAUUAUGUGCAAUUUUUCGCAAGGAUUAUGAGAUGCAGAAGGAUUUUCUGAUCGAACUAUGGAUGGCAAAUGGUUUUAUACAAGAAGAGGAAACAAUGGAUUUAAUACAGAAAGGAGAAUUCAUUUUUGAUGAGUUGGUUUGGAGAUCCUUCCUCCAAGAUAAGAAAGUGCUAGAAUAUCCAAGAAUGGUAGUAUGUAAAAUGCAUGACUUAAUGCAUGAUCUAGCAAAAUAUGUCAGCAAUGAAUGUGCAAGUAUAGAUGAACUAAAUCAGCGGAAGGCAUUGUUAAAAGAUGGUUGUCACAUGCAAAUGUCAAAGGUUGAUGAAUUAGAACAAAUUAGUGGGUUGUGCAAAGGAAGAACAUGCCUCCGCACUUUGUUAGCUCCUUCAGGAUCGUCACACAAGGAUUUUAAAGAGUUGCUACAAAUAUCAUCAUCACUAAGAGCAUUGCAUUGCCCCCCUUAUUCAAUUGCCAUUUGCAAGGCCAUAAAUGCAAAACAUUUACGGUAUCUUGACCUCUCGGUGUCUGACAUCGUUACAUUGCCAAAUUCAAUAUGUUUGUUGUAUAACUUGCAAACGUUGAGGCUCGUAGCUUGCAAGGAGCUGCGGAAGUUACCAGAAGACAUGACAGGAUUGAGAAAGCUCAUCAAUCUUUAUCUCUUUGAUUGUGAUAGUCUCAGAAGUAUGUCUCCAAACUUUGGUGUAAUGAACAACCUUCACAUAUUAACAACAUUUGUUGUGGAUACUGGAUAUGGCCUUGGAAUAGAGCAGCUCAAAGACUUGAAACACCUUAGCAAUAGGCUGGAGCUAUUGAAUUUGAGCAAGAUAAAGAGUGCAGAGAAUGCAAAAGAAGCCAACCUCAGUCAGAAGCAAAAUUUAACUGAGUUGUUGUUCUCUUGGGACCAAAAAUUUCAUGAUGAGCCUAAAGAUGUCGAAGAAGUGCUCCAAUGUUUAGAACCUCAUUAUAAUAUACAAAAUUUGGAGAUACUCGGAUAUGGUGGUCCACAAAUAUCACAAUUGAUGAGAAAUCCUGAGAUGUUUAACUGUUUGAAAGAACUCAAAAUGUCAAACUGCGCAAGAUGCAAGAGUAUACCUGUAGUAUGGCUCUCUGUCUCUCUAGAGAUUUUGUCCAUAGAGAAGAUGGAUAACUUGACCACAUUAUGUAAUAGCCUUGAUGUGGAAGGUGGAGGACACGUUACUCCUUUCCAAAUUUUCCAAAGGUUGAAGAGGAUGAGGUUGUUUGAGUUACCAAGCCUGGAGAUAUGGGCAGAAAAUAGUGUGGGAGAGCCUUGUGAUAGCUUGCUAAAGUUCCCGAUGCUUGAAGUGCUAAGGAUAGAAAAUUGUCCCAAGCUUGCAAGUAUUCCAAUGAUCCCCGUUGUCAGGGAUAUGAGUAUAGUUGGAGUUCACGGUACAGCAGUCAGUUUCAUUUUUAUGUGCAUCCGUUUGGGCUCUUGGCCAUUUCUCGUGGCUUUAACUCUGGAGUCUAAGGAAGACAUGGCCAUGUUGCUUCUAGACGCCCAACUAAUCCAAAGUGAAAGACCUCUUGAAAAACUAGAGUAUUUGGCUCUGCAAGGUCCUAACAGCUUGGACACAAGGUUUGUAUUGUCUAGAUCAUGCCUUAUGCCUUGGAAAUGCUUUAGAUUUGUGGAAAUGUUGGUGAUUCGCGGGUGCAACAAUCUUGUUCGUUGGCCAUCAGAUGAGCUCGGGUGCUUUGAUCGCCUCUGUGUUUUGCGUAUUGAAGAUUGUGACAACCAGGAGGAGGACACUUCAUCGUCUAAUGGGACACUUCCGCUGUCCCUGGAGGAAUUGGAAAUUUCGUUAUGCAAACAUCUGGUCAAGCUGCCUUCGAACCUUGGAAAUCUGGCCAACCUGAUAAGUCUCUAUGUGGGUUCGUGUAGUGCCCUGAAAGCGCUGCCUGAUGGGAUGUGUGGCCUCACUUCUCUUAGGGAAUUGAGGAUUUGUGAUUGUCCAGCUCUGGAUGAAUUCCCGCAUGGUCUCGUGGAGCGGUUGCCUGCCCUCGAAUUGUUAAAGAUACAUGGCUGCCCGGAGUUGGUAAGACUAUGCAGAGGAGGGAAAUAUUUCAACUUGGUCUCGUCUAUCCCACGUAAGAUAAUUUUUGAUUAG